rfam:Glycine max cultivar Williams 82 chromosome 9, whole genome shotgun sequence.
GUUCAAAUGAAGAAAGGCUUAUGGUGGAUAACUAGGUACCCAGAGACGAGGAAGGGCAUAGUAAGCGACGAAAUGCUUCGUGGAGUAGAAAAUAAGCAUAGAUAUGAGGAUUCCUAAUAUAGGUCAACCUUUCGAACUGCAACUGAAUCUAUGGGCAGGCAAGAGACAACAUGGUGAACUAAAACAUCUUGGUAGCUAGAGGAAAAGAAAGCAAAAGCGAUUCCCAUAGUAGCGGCGAGCAAAAUGGGAGCAACCUAAAUCGUGAAAACGGGGUUGUGAGAGAGCUAUACAAGUGUCGUGCUGCUAGGCGAAGCAGCAGAGAAUGCUGCACCCUAAAUGGCGAGAGUCCAGUAGCCGAAAGCAUCACUAGCUUACACUCUGACCCGAGUAGCAUGGGCAUGUGGAAUCUCGUGUGAAUCAGCAAUGACCACCUUGGAAGGCAAAAUACUCCUGGGUUACUGAUAGUGAAGUAGUACCCGUGAGGGAAGGGUGAAAAGAACCCUCAUCGGGGAUUGAAAUAGAACAUGAAACUGUAAGCUCCCAUGCAGUGGGAGGAGGCUCGAGACUCUGAUCGCAUGCCUGUUGAAGAAUGAGUCGGUGACUCAUAGGCAGUGGCUUGGUUAAGGGAAACCACCGGAGCCGUAGCGAAAGCGAGUCUUCAUAGGGCAAUUGUCACUGCUUAUGGACCCAAACCUGGGUGAUCUGUCCAUGACCAAGAUGAAGCUUGGGUGAAACUAAGAGGAGGUCCGAACUGACUAAUGUUGAAGAAUCAGUGGAUAAGUUGUGGUUAGGGGUGAAAUGCCACUCGAACCCAGAGCUAGCUGGUUCUCCCUAAAAUCCGUUGAGGUGCAGUAGUUUACUAGACAUCUAGGGGUAAAACACUGUUUCGGUGCGGGCCAUGAGAGCGGUACCAAAUCGAGGCAAACUCUAAUACUAGAUAUGACCUCAAAAUAACAAGGGUCAAGGUCGGCCAGUGAGACGAUGGGGGAUAAGCUUCAUCGUCAAGAGGGAAACAGCCCAGAUCACCAGCUAAGGCCCCUAAAUGACCGCUCAGUGAUAAAGGAGGUAGGGGUGCAGAGACAACCAGGAGGUUUUCCUAGAAGCAGCCACCCUUGAAAGAAUGCAUAAUAGCUCACUGAUCGAGCGCUCUUGUGCCGAAGAUGAACGGGGCUAAGCGAUCUGCCAAAGCUGUGGGGUGUAAAAAUGAAUCGGUAGGGGAGUGUACCAUCUUAGAGGGAAGGACCCAUGCGAGUAGUGCUGGACGAAGCAGAAGCGGGAAUGUUGGCUUGACUAACGCAAACGUUGGUAAGAAUCCAAUGCCUCGAAAACCCAAGGGUUCCUUCGUAAGGUUCAUCCACGGAGGGUGAGUCAAGGCCUAAGAUCCGGCCGAAGGGCGUAGUCGAUGGACAAAAGGUGAAUAUUCUUGUACUACCCUUUAUUGGACUCGAGGGAUGGAGGAGGCUAGGUUAGCCAAAAUAUGGUUAUCGGUUCAAGGACGCAAGGUGCCCCUGCUUUUUCAGAGUAAUAAGGGUAGAUAAAAUGCGUUGAGCCAAAGUUCGAGUACCAAGCGCUACAGCGCUGAAGUAAUCCAUGCCAUACUUCUAGGUAAAGCUUAAAUGACCUUCAAUAAAUGGGUACUUGUACCCGAAACCAACACAGGUGGGUAGGUAAAGAAUACCUAGGGGCACGAGACAACUCUCUCUAAGGAACUCAGCAAAAUAGCCCCGUAACUUCGAGAGAAGAGGUGCCUCCUCACAAAGGAGGUCGUUGUGACUAGGCUCGGGUGAUUGUUUACCAAAAACACAUGUCUCCGCAAAGUCGUAAGACCAUGUAUGGGGGCUGACACCUGCCAAGUGCCGGAAGGUCAAGGAAGUUAGUGACCAGAUGACAGGGGAUCCGAUGACCGAAGCCUCGGUGAACGGCGACCGUAACUAUAACGUCUUAAGGUAGCGCAAUUCCUUGUCAGGUAAGUUCCAACCCGCAUGAAAGGCAUAAUGAUUUGGGCACUGCCUCGGAGAGAGACUCGGUGAAAUAGACAUGUUUGUGAAGAUGCGGACUACCUGCACUUGGACAGAAAGACCAUAUGAAGCUUCACUAUUUCCUGGGAUUGGCUUUGGGCUUUUCCUGCGUAGCUUAGGUGGAGGGCAAAGAAGGCUUCUUUCUUAGGGGGGGGGGGGGGGCGAACCCUUAGUGAGAUACCACUCUAGAAGAGCUAGAAUUCUAACCUUGUUCCAGGACCUACGAGCCGAGGGAUAGUCUCAGGUAGAUAGUUUCUAUGGGGCGUAAGCCUCCCUAAAGGUAACGGAGGCGUGCAAAGGUUUCCUCAGGCCAGACGGAGUUUGGCCCUCGAGUGCAAAGGCAGAAGGGAGCUUGAUUGCAAGACCCACCCGUCGAUUAUGGACAAAAGUCGGUCUUAAUGAUCUGACGAUGCCGAGUGGAAGGGCCAUCGCUCAAUGGAUAAAAGUUACUCUAGGGAUAACAGACUGAUCUUCCCUAAGAUCUCACAUGGAUGGGAAGGUUUGGCACCUCGAUGUCGGCUCUUCGCCACCUGAGGCUGUAGUAUGUUCCAAGGGUUUGGUUGUUCGCCCAUUAAAGCGGUACGUGAGCUGGGUUUAGAACGUCAUAAGAUAGUUCGGUCCAUAUCCAAUGUGGGCUUUAGAGCAUUGAGAGGACCUUUCCCUAGUAUGAGAGGGUCGGGAAGGACGCACCUCUAGUGUGCCAGUUAUUGUACCCACGAUAAACGCUGGGUAGCCAAGUACGAAAUGGAUAACUGCUGAAAGCAUCUAAGUAGUAAACCCACCCCAAGAUGAGUGUUCUUCUAUCCCGACUUCCCCAGAGCCUCCGAUAGCACAGCCGAGACAACGAUGGAUUCUCUGCCCCGGCAGGGAUGGAGCGAAAGAAGUUUUGAGAAU